rnacentral:misc_RNA from 1 species
GGCGGAAUAUCCCAAGCGAGAUCUCUCUUUUGCUGCUGCUCGAGAGGCGUCUCCGGCGGCGAGGAUAACUGUGAGGCGCCGGUUGGGCUUCCGUUGCUGGAUCCGCUCCAGAUACCACUUGGGCAUAGUGUAGACUGUGGCGAGCUAGCCAUAGUCUUGGGAUAGUAGUCGGCUGUCUGAGAUGGGUUGAGAAAACUGUCGGCCAUCUGGCGAGUAAGCCCGGCAAGAGUAUCGUCCUCGUCGCUCUCUGAGUCUAGCGGAGAGCUCAGACUCAUGACGGUUUUGUCGUCGGAGAAAUCGUCGGAUAAAAAGUCCGAAGGCAGCCAGAACUCGGCCUCCGCCAU